rnacentral:tRNA from 1 species
CACUAAGAAGCUAAACAGGGCUAUAGCGUCAGCCUUUUAAGCUGAAAAUUGGUGCCCCCCAACCACCCUUAGUGA